rnacentral:rRNA from 1 species
UGGGGAAUAUUGCACAAUGGAGGGAACUCUGAUGCAGCGACGCCGCGUGAACGAAGAAGGCUUUCGAGUCGUAAAGUUCUUUUAUAUGGGAAGAUAAUGACGGUACCAUAAGAAAAAGCUCCGGCUAACUACGUGCCAGCAGCCGCGGUAAUACGUAGGGGGCUAGCGUUGUCCGGAAUCACUGGGCGUAAAGGGUUCGCAGGCGGAAAUGCAAGUCAGGUGUAAAAGGCAGUAGCUUAACUACUGUAAGCAUUUGAAACUGCAUAUCUUGAGAAGAGUAGAGGUAAGUGGAAUUUUUAGUGUAGCGGUGAAAUGCGUAGAUAUUAAAAAGAAUACCGGUGGCGAAAGCGACUUACUGGGCUCAUUCUGACGCUGAGGAACGAAAGCGUGGGUAGCAAACAGG